CAAAAUCUUUCAAAGUUAUCAAUGUUUGUACAUAAUUUAUCAAGUCUGUAAGGCAUAAAUUACCAUGAUAUACGCAUAAGUUAGCGAGGUUAUUCCCCGCAAAAAAAAGUUAGCAAGUUAUGUUUUUCAGCAACUCUUUCCUCAACUCAAAGUUACCACGGAAUUUGUGUGUAAGUUAUCAGGUGUGCUUACGUAUAUUAUCACACUAUUUAUCCAAAAAAAUGACGGUGGAUAUGUUUUCAACAACUCUUUUUUCUGGGGUCAAAAUUGUUACCACGGUAAUUGUCAACAAUUUUUUGGGGGGCCCAGAAUGAUCCUCAUUACCUACUGUUCUUUUUACCACCCACAAACUGCUCAACACGAGCAUGGAAAAAAAACAGAAAUACAAAAAAUUGGGCAAAACUAGGGAUCGAUCCCUCGUGGCCUGGGUUAUGAUUCAUAGCACUAGCCACUUGGUUGUAGUGAGUUUCAUGUUGUAGUAUCAGCGCGAGGUUUUCUAUCAGGCAUGUAGGUACCAGGCUUCACUUGGUCUGCAGCCAUGGCUGCUGCUCGCGACGGAGCUUCACCGUCAAUUACCAGGCUUCCCCUUGGCAUCUUGGGGGUGCGGAUGAGCACAUGCAUGGUGCAGCGGGGCGCGGCCUUGCGUGCCUGUUGUGUGUGCAUCGGCCGAGCUCCCAUGCUCAAGCUCAAGCUCAUGCAUGGCGGGCCUGCGUUCAGGUGCAUACGACCAGGGUGAGCGGGAGGAGGAACGGCGAUUCUCACCGCACUCGAAUGCGAGAUCGACUUGGACAGAGGCAAACGCGGAAGCCGGUGAGGAGACACUGAUUGCCGGAAACGGCUCCGCCGAGGAGAAAACCAUGGUCAGUCCCAAGCUCCUGUGGACAGGAUGUUGCGCAGGAGGACAACGGACGUCGCAGCAGAGCUCCCCGUCGACGAGGCGGAGGAAGAAAAGGACCACAGCGGCAAAGCAAAAUUAGCCCCGCGGGUCAACGCCCAGGCCACUCACGCCCGUAGUCGAGCAACUGCCCCCGCGCAUAUCGCCAGCAGCCGCACAAUCCCGAUUGAAGCACCCCGAGGUCGUGUGGUAGUUUCGCAAUCUGCACACGGUUGCCAUAUACAUAUUUCGUUUACUUAAUGAGAGACAAACUUGGAAACUUUGAAAGUUUAAAGGAAUUUCAUAAUGAAGUAGAAAGUUCUUGUAACAAGAAUAUUAAGUUUCUACGAUAGCAUUGCAGAAAGGAAUGUUUGAGUUACAAGUUUCGCGAAUGUGAUGAGUCACGAAAUAGUUUCAUAAUUUACACCUCUAGAACGCGAGGAAAGGGGUGUCCAAGUCUCCAAGAGACGUAACUGAACCAUGUAUGCCAUGGUAAGAUCAAAGAUGUCAUUAACUAAUUAGCCAUUAUAUAUUCGGGUUAUGCUUUAGAGACUGCGGCUUUUUAACUGAAAAGAGUGGCAUCUAAUGUUUUGAAAUGAAACCAUAUGAUAUGGUAUGGGACGCUGAACCAAUAUGUCCUUCCUUAAAACUUGGCAAUGAGAUGCAUAUGUAAAGUGCUUACAACCACAUAAGCUCAAAUCACAAAUCAGAUAAGUGCUACUUUGUUGGUUAUCCAAAAUGUCGGAUAUUUCUUCUAUCACUGCACCGAAGGCAAAAUGGUUGUUGCUAAGAACAGUGUGUUUUGAAGAAGACUUUCUUGCGGAAGGGGAGUAAGAGGACAGUGAAGCUCGACGAGAAUAAAAAAUCUUCAUGAUGAGGUAAAAGAAAGGAAACACUGAAAACAGUUCCAAAGUUUCGUCACUGCCACUGAUAUGGAAGCCCCUACAUGUGAUGUAGAGACUUCGGUUGAACUAGCAACUGAACGAUGCAGGUUAGGCAAAAACUCGUGCAAAUCAUUAUGCUAUGUAGAAGAGAUAUUGUUGUUAGACAACGAUAAACCUGUGGCAUAGAAAGGCGCAAUGAAGGACCCUCAUUCCGGGAUUCGACUAAACGCAAAGAAAUUUGAGGUAGUAUCCAUGAGCCUCGAAAUAGACCCUCCGAAAAGAGUAAAGCCUAAGGAAUGUAAAUGGAUCUAUAAACCAACACAAAUGAAAAUGUUUAUAUCCAUAAAGUUCGACUUGUUGCAAACUGUUUUCGACAAGUUCAAAGAGUUGACUGCAACGAGAUUGUCUCGCUAUAGCGAUGCUCAAGUCAGUUCGGAUUAUUUUAGCAAUUGUUGCAUAUUUCAAUUAUCAGAAUGAAUGUCAAAACAGUCUCCUUCGUUGCAAUGAAAAUAGCAGUUGCUUGUGCAAGUGUAUUACCUCAACAUCUGAUGAAUCCAAGCCGGUUGUUGGGCUUUAUUUUUACCGGGGUGAUCAACAAUGUAGCACGAGUGUUCGUUUGUCCUCGGAGUUACGAGAAGAAUUGCUUAUCUGCUUGAGAUCCAGACUGACUUGCCAUGGGCAUGUCACCUGUGAGCAAUAAUGUAACAUACCAUCUCUUUCAUCUGUUCGACUGAGAAUCAACUCGAACAAUAGUCGUGAUGAUUUUUUCUUCGAGACAUACAUUACUCGUGAUACAUGACAUCCAAUACAAUAAGCUACGAAAGCUGGGCGCUCUCUCACGCAAUCCACGUCGGCACAGGUACGACAAAACAAAACUCAGCUAGAGAACGGAUUGGGCAAAACGCACAUUCCACGGCGGCACACAUUGAUUGGAGAAAAAAAAUCUUUGUGUGUCAUGGAAGAUAACACCUCGUCCAAGAGGAUUUGCCUUCCCAACGAAGGAAAACCUCACCUCUUCAUCAUCCCUUCCCUCACCGCAGCCACUCCCUCCUAUUCUCCGCCACCUCCCUGCCUCGCCCCUCCCCCUCAUCUCGGGCCUGACGCCUCCGCGCCUCCAGAUCUGAGCUCGUGCGCAGUGGCGGCAGUAGGAAGGUGUGGCGAUGCUCGCCCCGACGGCAAGAGCUAGAGGGUGGGCAGCGGCGCGAGCUGUCGUCCUGAGGAUGCCGCAAGAGGACGAGCACAACCGGGACGACGUCGAUGCGGUCGUCGGCGCCUACCCCGCCGCUGGAGGCCCCAGCACAGGUCGCGCUACCCCCAUCCCACGGCAUCGUCUGCAUCGAUCUGAAGCCCAAACAAGAUGGGGAAAAGGUGAGGAUGGAGAUGCGGGUCAUUUUCUUUGGAUCUCAUUCUGAAGAUUUUGAAGCUUUCUGUCCGUGUCGAGGAUGUCCAAUGCGCCGAUGUCCAAUGCGCACCGGCGCAGGUCUGCCUUCUCCCUGCCCUCCGUCCCCAUGCGUGCAACGGCGACCCGAGGAGCUUGAGCCACAAUGAUGGUCCAUGGAGCCGUUGCCGGAGUCCUUAGCAGAAGAAGCGCGGGUUGUAGAGAUGGCCGACUCCAUCGUGUUCAUGCGUCACCGGCGAGAAGAAGCAGCAGAUGAUUGGCAUGAAGAAGACCCUUGUGUUCCACCAAGGACGUGCCCCGAAAAAGGGGUGUACUGGUUGGAUCAUGCACGAGUACCGCAUCACCGAGCCAGAGUUUAAGUCUACGAGCAACUUGUAGUGGACCAGAAUACUUGCUCAAAGGGAAGGAAGUUUAUGAACAUAUUCUUCGUGUCUACGGAGAAAUUACGUCUGUUAGCACUUGUCUGGUUUUUCAAAUGUCGACAGGUACAAACAGCUAGAAGAAUUUUGAUGCAACUCCAUGCAAAGAUCAGGUCACGUUGUCUUCAAUGGUAUCUAGAUACUCUACAAAUGGUUGCACUGACGAGGCAAUCUCACUAUUUCAGCAUAUGAUGGCAGCUGGGUUUUUUUCCGAAAAAACAGAAAAGAGUUGCCCGGUUAAUUCACGGAAAACCGGGCUAAAACCGUUACAACACGCCCACAAAGAAGGGCACCCCGGCCGACUUGACACCUACAAGACCCGCACACACCGCCGAGGCGAGGACACCGUCGAGGUUGCCUACAAUGGCAGCUGGUUUUCAGAUAGUUGGGUAUGCACCUAAGGCAGGAAUACUGUCUAUCUAUUGGUAAGUACUCCCUUUGUCCCUUAAUAUAAGAACGUUUCUUAAACUAUGUUAGCUUGAAAAACGUUCUUAUAUUAUGGAACGGAGGUAGUAGUUCACAUGUGAAGUUGUACUCAAAAAAGGCAACCUGCAUGAUUCUCAUAAAGUUUUUGAUGAAAUAAAUUCCCCAGAUUUAGUUACUUGGACAGCUAUAAUUGAUGGAUAUGCUCAGCAUGGAAGUGGUCAGGAUUCUUUGGAGAUGUUUGAUUUGAUGAUUAGGCGUGGAAUGAAACCAGAUAAUAUUGUACUAGUGAGUUUUUAACUGCUUGCAGACAUAAUGGUUUAGUUGAAGAAGGCUUUAACUACUUUAAAUCUAUGAGAAACGUGUAUGGGCUUGAGCCUGUGUUACAUCACUACUGUUGUAUGAUUGAUUUACUUGGUCGAUCUGCGAGCUUGUAGAGACAAAAAAUAUCGAGAGUAUGCCUAUCAAGCCCGGCUUGAUGGUAUGGAGCACACUGCUUGCUGCUUGCAGAGCUCAUGAUGAUGCUGUACUUGGAUGAUUUGUAGAAAAUAAGAUACGUGAAGAUAAUUAUGACCCAGGCUCUUUUUCAACUCUGUCGAACAGUCUAGCAAACUCUGGAGACUGGGAGGUAGUAGCGAGAGUCAGAAAAUCGUUAAAGAGCGGCAAGAAAGACUGAAAGAGCCUGGAUUGAGUAUGGUGUAAGAAAUGAAAUGGUCAAAGUGUUUUAUAAAUAAAA